rnacentral:rRNA from 1 species
AUACGUAGGUGACAAGCGUUAUCCGGAUUUACUGGGCGUAAAGCGCACGCAGGCGGUUUGUUAAGUCAGAUGUGAAAUCCCCGGGCUCAACCUGGGAACUGCAUCUGAUACUGGCAAGCUUGAGUCUCGUAGAGGGGGGUAGAAUUCCAGGUGUAGCGGUGAAAUGCGUAGAGAUCUGGAGGAAUACCGGUGGCGAAGGCGGCCCCCUGGACGAAGACUGACGCUCAGGUGCGAAAGCGUGGGGAGCAAACAGGAUUAGAUACCCUGGUAGUCCACGCCGUAAACGAUGUCGACUUGGAGGUUGUGCCCUUGAGGCGUGGCUUCCGGAGCUAACGCGUUAAGUCGACCGCCUGGGGAGUACGGCCGCAAGGUUAAAACUCAAAUGAAUGGACGGGG